rnacentral:rRNA from 1 species
AUUGAACGCUGGCGGCAUGCCUUACACAUGCAAGUCGAACGGCAGCAUAGAGAGCUUGCUCUCUGGUGGCGAGUGGCGAACGGGUGAGUAAAGCAUCGGAACGUACCGUGUAGUGGGGGAUAACGUAGCGAAAGUUACGCUAAUACCGCAUACGCACUGAGGUGGAAAGCAGGGGAUCGCAAGACCUUGCGCUAUACGAGCGGCCGAUGUCAGAUUAGCUAGUUGGUAGGGUAAAGGCCUACCAAGGCGACGAUCUGUAGCGGGUCUGAGAGGAUGAGCCGCCACACGGGGACUGAGACACGGCCCAGACUCCUACGGGAGGCAGCAGUGGGGAAUUUUGGACAAUGGGGGCAACCCUGAUCCAGCCAUGCCGCGUGAGUGAAGAAGGCCUUCGGGUUGUAAAGCUCUUUCGGCCGGGAAGAAAUCGCACAGGCUAAUACUCUGUGUGGAUGACGGUACCGGCAUAAGAAGCACCGGCUAACUACGUGCCAGCAGCCGCCGUAA